CUACGGGCGGCACCAGUGAGGAAUAUUGCACAAUGGAGGAAACUCUGAUGCAGCAACGCCGCGUGGAGGAUGACGCAUUUCGGUGUGUAAACUCCUUUUAUAUGUCAAGAAAAUGACGGUAGCAUAUGAAUAAGCACCGGCUAACUCCGUGCCAGCAGCCGCGGUAAUACGGAGGGUGCAAGCGUUACUCGGAAUCACUGGGCGUAAAGGACGCGUAGGCGGGAUAUCAAGUCAGGUGUGAAAUCCUACAGCUUAACUGUAGAACUGCACUUGAAACUGGUAACCUAGAGUAUGGGAGGGGGAGAUGGAAUUAGUGGUGUAGGGGUAAAAUCCGUAGAUAUCACUAGGAAUACCUAAAGCGAAGGCGAUCUCCUGGAACAUAGCUGACGCUAAGGCGUGAAAGCGUGGGGAGCAAACAGGAUUAGAUACCCCUGUAGUC
rnacentral:rRNA from 1 species